UGUUUAAACCGAUAUCUGCUCACCCCUAAUCAGGAGGAAUGGAGCAAUCUUGACAUUUCACAAAUAAUUAACAAUUAAUUGGGCUCAAUUUAAUAGAAAGACCAAUUUAUUAACAGAAGUAAAAUAUAAAGACUAAAUCAUUACCCAAACGUAAAACAAGGAUUAACAUGCCUCAAGGACUUGGUUGUAAAUGACCAUAAUAAAUAAUAUUAAUGAGACUUAGUUCAAUGGUACUGGAGUCACCUCAAGGAUUAAUUGAGUUUGAAUUUCAAUCGAAACUAAUUAUAUUAAAAAAAAAUAAUGAAUAACAAGCCAAUCAAAGCCUCUAACUAGAAACGUUACUUACUAAAAACUAAAGAAGCAAUGUUAUGGAGCUAACAUUGAUGCAUCUACUCCUGCAAUCUAUAAUUGCUCCUUUAUUGCUCUUGUCAAGUAAGAUUGAUACGUGUUGUUUAAGUAAAAAGAUGAGCUUAUGAGUUUUAGCUAUCAGUUAGAGAGUUGUUAAGCUAUUAGUUAGCGAGUUAGAGGUGGUUAUUACUUAAAUAUAUAUAAAUCUCUAAUUGUAGAAUGAAAUUACCCUUCUCUCUGGAUUCUUUUCUCUUAUUUGAGUUUUCUUCUUCUUUUCUCUCUAUUUUUAAUUGGAAUUGCAUCAAUGGUACCAAAGCAAGUUGAUCCUCAGCCAUGGUGGAUUUAC
rnacentral:misc_RNA from 1 species